rnacentral:rRNA from 1 species
GACGUAGGGCGCGAGCGUUGUCCGGAUUUAUUGGGCGUAAAGAGCUCGUAGGCGGCUUGUUGCGUCGUCCGUGAAAACUUGUGGCUUAACCACAGGCUGGCGGUCGAUACGGGCAGGCUGGAGUUCGGUAGGGGAGACUGGAAUUCCUGGUGUAGCGGUGAAAUGCGCAGAUAUCGAGAGGAACACCUGCGGCGAAGGCGGGUUGCUGGGCCGACACUGACGCUGAUGCGCGAAAGCCAGGGGAGCGAACGGG